ensembl:lncRNA
ACCCAAAUGACCAUCAGUGGGUUAAUGGAUAAACAAACUGUGAUAUAUCCAUACAAUGGAAUAAUAUUUAGUAAUAAAAAAGAAUGAAUUACUGAUACAUGCUUCAAAACAAAGAUGAACUUUGAAAACAUUGUUCUAAGUGAAAGAAUACAGAUAAAAAAGGCCACGCGUUGCAUGAUUCCGCUUAUAUGAAAUAUCCAGAAUAGGUAAAUCCUCAGAGACAGGCAGUAGAUAGAUUAGUGAUUGACAGGGGCGGGAAUGGGGUUGGGGAAUUGGGAAUGACUGCUAACAGGUAUGGAGUUUCUUUUUGGGGUGGUGAAAUGUUCUGGAAUUAGAUAGUGGUGAUGGCUGUGCAACCUCGCAAAUAUACUAAAAACUAUUGAAUUGUACAUUUUAAAAGUGGGUUGUAUGGUAUGUGAAUUAUAUCUCAAUUGAAAAUAAAAAAGGUUUGGGGCUGGCCCCGUGGCCGAGUGGUUAAGUUCGCGCACUCCACUGCAGGCGGCCCAGUGUUUCGUUGGUUCGAAUCCUGGGUGCGGACAUGGCGCUGCUCAUCAAACCACGCUGAGGCAGCGUCCCACAUGCCACAACUAGAAGGACUCACAGCUAAAAAUACACAACUAUGUACCGGGGGACUUUGGGGAGAAAAAAGGAAAAAAUAAAAUCUUUAAAAAAAAAAAAAAAAAAGGUUUUACCAGUGACUUAACCACUAGCAGAAAUGUGGUGAGUAACCGUGUUUUUGGAUUGCCAGACAAAUGUUCAUGUUCUGUCACCAUGACUAGUAAAUAUUUCCUGAAUUAAAUGGAGAUGUAAUACUUGUCUUCAAGGACCUUGCAUAUAUGAACAUGAAAAGAGAAAAUACUGGGAAAUAAGUAGUAGACCAGAAUGAGUGGUAUGAACGAAGAGUUCUCAAAGUGGGGUCUCAAAGUGGGAUUUUUGUGACCCACCCAGAGAGGUUUGGAUUUGACAGGUCUGUGGUGUAUUCCUGGGACCCUGUAUUUUUAGGAAGGACUAUAGGUGUGGAAGAGACUCAUCCAUAUCCUGCUUUAUUCUUCUUCUUGCUACUUGCAAAAUUACACUUCCCCAGCCCUUUUUGGAUGGGUGCACCAUAUGACUAAUUCUGGCCAGUGGGUUGAGAGUGGAAGUUAUGUAUAUCACUUUUGGGUUAAAGCAUUUAAUUGGCAGUAUCAGAACUUCUAGCAUUCUCUUCCAUUGCUGUGCCAAUCAGGGGAGGCCAUGUGUUCCAGACAGGUCAGGUACAGGAUGGUGGAGUCUUCAUUAGCCUGGAUCUUUGAGUCACUGCGUGGAACAAAAUGGUGCUAGAAAGUUGCCCAGACCAGCCCUGGGUUUUGCAUCAGCAAUAAAUAAACCUUUGUUGUGUUAAACCAUUGAAAUGUUGGCAUGUUUGUUAUUGUAGCAUAAUCUGGCCUAUCCUUAACCAGGGGAUUUUGAUGAUUGACCAGGUUUGGGAAUCAGUAGUAGAGAUAAUAAAAGCUAAAGAAUUGGGGGGUGAAAAGAUCAUCUAGGGCUGAGGGUGAUCAGGAAAGACUUAAUAGAAGAAUUUGAGCUGGGCCUUGAAAGAUGGAUAAGAUUGGGAUAGGGAGAAAUAAAUAGGACAUUCUGGAUAGGGGAGAUGUCACAAAUGAUACGGAAGGAGUCAUAGCAAAAUAAUAGUUCCUUAAGUUUUCUUUUCUCUUAAAAGUCAGCUAAGACUUCUCUUUAUAAUGUGCUUGGGGGGCAGAUGCUUCAACUAUUGCCAAAUAUUUAUUUUGUAGUUGGACAAACUGAAAUAACAAUCCAUGUGCAGUGUCACGCAAUGAAUCUUUCAACAAAGAUUGAAUCAUUUCAGUGUGUCCUUUGUUCUGAUGGACAGUUGUCUUGAAUUCUUCUUUCAGAGAGAAUGUAAGCACGUCAUUUUCAAUGGAAUCGGGGAAGGUUAGAAAUGGAAGACUUGAAUGCCAGGCUUCAGUUAUCCUCCCCGAUACAAUGAGAAAGACCCACAUGUUUUCCUUGGAUAUUUAUAUCCAGGUGAUUUUUUUUUUUUUCUGUCUGAAAGAGCCACCUCUUCUGCCAGCAUGCUCUCGUUCCUCCAUUCUGUCCAAGUGUCUUUGUUCCCUUUCCUGCUUGCUCUCACCUUCCUUUCUCCCAUCCUCCAACCUUUCAGGAUAUGAGAUCAGUGAGGAGGAGGGAAAAGGAACUGAUGUUUACCCAGUGCUUUAUGUGUGCCAUACAUGCUUUGACAUAUAUCAUCUCAUCUAGUCCCUGAUGGCAGCAUUCUGAGAGAGUCUCCAGAAAGGAAUGCAACCCUACUGACAUCUUGAUUUUUGCCAGUGAGAUCCACGUCGAACUUCCGACCUACAGAACUCUGAUGUUCCUGCAAAUCAGAAUUGAUUUGAACUAAGGUGAAUGAUAAACAUGCGCUGUCAGACUGCCUCCUGGGAGCCGACUGGGUGAGUUUUCAGGGUGAAUUUUCUUUGUCCUCCUGGCCUCAGGCUGACUCUAGCUCUGCUUUUCUCUCUUCACCAAAGCUGACCUUCUCUCUCUGCCUCACCUCCCACCCCAUUCCCACCUCCAGCCACAGAGGCAGCAGCUGAGCCCUGCUGUGCCAACCUCAAGUCUAGGUGACCCUGAGCAGUUACCAAGGGGCUUUGUCUUUCUAGAUACCCCAUUUGGCCAUGGUCAAAAUCCCCAAGGCCUGCUGAGGGAGGCUGAGUCUGUGUGGAAAAUUUAUAGGGGUUUAGAACCCAGAGAUUCUAGGUUGUGAGUGUGCGACUCCCCAUGUGCGAGUAUUGGAGGGAACCACUCAUAGCUUCAUGCUGUGUCGAGCUGGGGAAAAAUCACAAGGUAUGGGCCCUUUUUUCUCACCCUGUCCCCCACUCCUGGGCCUGGAAGUUUCCCCCUCCCAGUACUGUGACAUUUUUGGAUGUUCCUUUGAAUAGCUCAGGGACAAUCUAAGGAGUGAACACAAGAGAAUACCCCUCUGGAAACUUUGGAACAAAUUUCCUUGACUCCCAGAGGCCUUUAUAUAUGCUGCUUUCUUGGCUUCAACUUCCUUUGCCCUUAGUCUUAUGCUUCCUUUAAGACUCAGUCCAGAAAGGCCUGGGAAGUGUUUUCUGGCUCAUGCCUCUUACUCCAACUGCAAACCAUCCUUUAGCACCAGGCACAAUCUCUGUCAUGGCCCCUGUCAGCUAAGUCUUCACCAUUUGCUUGCAUUUGUUUCUGCAAGGGUAUCCAGGACAGAUCUCAGUCAUGGAUGCUUAGAAAAUGCUUGUGGAAUGCACAUUCCUCAGGACCAAAGGUAGAACUGAGCAGAGUACUUUCUACCCCAAGCAAUUAUAAAACCCAUUAUACAUAAAUGACCUAAGAAUAGUAGACGCUAGAAUUAAGAACAGUUUAAAUUGACAUAUGUUCCUUGUAUGAAUAAUGGCUUUCACACAUUGACUAGACCCUUUUCUCAAAAACAGAAGGAGUGCAUUUUAUACAUGUUAGCAUUUUAUAAGUAUUGCCAUUUAAGCUUAUAAUUCUGGCUCAGCUGUUGGAAUUUUGUCAUAUGCCAAAAGUUAAACAGAUGUCCAAAAGAGUGACUCACUGCCCAAAUGAAGAAAAAUGGUAAGAGCUGUUCAAAACCAACUUAAGUGUCAAUAAACUUGGAGAGAAGUAUUCUCUCGGGCUUUAAAAAAAAUCAAACAAACACAAUGAAGAGGGCAUCCUUCCCAGAGGACAAUUUGAGACAGGAUCAGUGAGAAGCAGAGAUGAAAAGACUUGCUUCCUUCUCCAACCCCAGUUGGUACAGGGAGAAGAUACUAGGAAUUUCUGAAUUGUAGAAUUACUCCUCUCCCAUGGGUUUCUGCAUUCAAGUCUUCCAAAACUCAAGGAACUAUAGAGAUUUUUCCUGGGUUACAGAUGACUUAUUAGAAAAGGUUGACAGAGAAGAAAAGGAGGUCUAUGGACAUAUGCAUUGACAAAUGAGGCCCCUCUGCAAAUGAAGAUGCAGAAACUAGGAUCCAAAGAAGACAAGUGAGCCACAACUCAGACUUAGGUUUUCUUACUCCUAGGCCAGUGAUGGAAGCAGGAAACCUGCCUUCACUCCAGACUCAAUUUUUCUGAGAAAGAAAAUGUGGUAUCUUUAUUUCACUGGAUGUGAAUAGAGUGGAAUUAUGUCUGCCUAGAGAUUGUUCUUCAGGCGCAUUUAAAACUUGAGUAAGUGGUCACUCCAUAUCAGAUGCAUGCCAUCUUGGAGGCAGGGAAAUGCCCCAGUCAUUGGUGAAGUACAUCCUUGGGAGUCCACACACAUGACUUCUGUUUUCAAACAUGUUCUUAGCUCAACCUUGUAGAGUAAAGUCAUGUGAAUCAUGUCACAUGUCUGGGCCUCGGGCUCUUCAUUUUUAAAAUAAAGGUUUAGGAGAUAUUGUUUAUGAAGACCCCUUGGGGUUUGGCAUUCUGUGAUGUUAGAGGAUAUGAGACACUUCCAGUAGCUGAGUACUCUCUUUAUAAAGGGUCCCAUUCCAUUUCCCCAGCACAGAGAGAUGCAUAACAAAUUUUCUCAGUUCUAGACUGUCUUAUACAGAGAGGUGAAAAUUCAUUUUGUUAUAAAGAAAAUUAAGAAAACUUGAUUUGUAAAGGAGGCAUGGAUUUCAUCUUUUCAUCGUAGGCUUGCUGUAGAAUUCUCUGGGACCUGAAUGAUGCUUUCAUUUAUUCGAUAUAUCUUGAGUGGAUAAUUGUGCUAGGCUCUGGGCCAGAGACUGGGGCUUAAAGAGGUGAAUAAAACUUGAUCCCUGACCUUAAGGAGCCCACAUACUUGUGGGAGACAAAUUCUUACAAACAAACGUAAUCUUUAGAAUCAGGAGAGAAUAUUCAUAGGACAGUGAUAAAAAUUACCAAGUACUUUAUGUGCAUUCUCUCUUCAAGUCCUCUCAACUAUGAUACCUAUUUCAUAGGUGAGAUAGAUAAGGAAACUAAGGCUCUGAGAGGUCAGAGACUUUCCCAAGGUCAUUAUCAUUGUGGAGAGUGAAUUAAGUGGGAUAGACUUUAGGCACUGGGACCCAAGUGAAGAAAUCAUUGCAAAGGUCUAGGUAGGUAAUGGUGUGGGUUUGAACUCAGCAGAGGCCGUGGGCAUGAUGGAUAGGACAAGCCUCAAUAUGCUGUCUUGUCUGUGUUUCCCUUUUAAAGGAUUCCUGCUACAAGUCUCUUCCACAUAAAUGAUCACAUUGAUACAGACUGUUAUUUAUGGGAUCAAGAAUAGAUGCUUAACAUUUGCAAUGACAUGGAUGAACCUAGAGGACAUUAUGCUAAGUGAAGUAGGCCAGACACAGAGAACAAGUGCUACAUGAUACUGCUUAUAAGAGGAACUUAAAACAGUGAAACUGAGAGAAGCAGAGAGGUAGAAUGGUGGUUGCCAGGAGUUUGGUGGAAGGGAAAAUGGAGAGGUAUUAGCCAAAGCGUACAAAGAUUUAAUAAUGCAAGAUGAGUAAGUCUUAGAGAUCUCCUGUACAGCAUAGUGUCUAUAGUUAAUAAUACUGUAUUGUAUACUUAAAAAUUUGCUAGGAGAGUAUAUCUAGGUUAGGUGUUCUUAUCAUACACACAAAUAAUAAUAAGGAGCGUGAGAGAACACUUUCCAAAGUGAUGGGUAUGUUUAUGGCAUACAUUGUGG